UAGUGCACAGGAAGUAUUACCUCUCUCUUCCUGUGAGAUCUUCCCUCUGAUGGCGGUCAAGUACGUGUCGGAGCGCAUGGAAAAAGUAUCUUGGCCCCGAACUCUGACCACAAAGGGAAUAACGUCUGUCAAGUUAUUUGUGUCUGAAAAUCCCGGUGAGUCACGUGCUUUCGUUAGCUACCUGUUAAGUUAGAUAAUGUAUUUCACUAGCCGAUUCAGCUCAGAAACCUUUGAACAAAAACCAAUCGGGAGCUAUGAGAAUCUGGCGUGUUGUUUCACUUCUCCUGUUGUUCUUUACAGUGUGUUAUAAGUGUUGAAUGCUUUGAGCUAAACGAUGCCGAUGCUAGAUGCGAUGCUAGCUGCUAAUAGCUGUUAGCCACCCCACCCCGCUGAAGCCAUAUUCCGAUCGGGGAGGUAUUCAAGUAGAAGCAAUAGCUCUGUUUAUAUUAGAAUGGUUAUGUCUUAAUAGAUAUGAGCAUAUUUCAAGUUUAAUAGUAUUUGCACUGAAUUAAGUUACAUUUGCUUGUAAGCCUUAAGGAUGAAUGUCGCUUUCAUUGCUAUGACUGUUUACAUUACAGUUUAAGCUGCUGAUGUUCUUUGUUGUGAUGUAAUUUUGAUAAAAUUGUUGAUACUGGUACAAACAAGUUACUGUAACUCUUGUAACUUGGUAAAGCUAAAGGGAAUGCCAUUUGUGAUUAAUACAUUUGGAAAAGAAGUUAAUGAGCUCAUGUUAAGAACACAAAGUGGGAAAAGAAAUUGAUUGUUCUGCACUGUUUGUGUAGAUUGGUUUUUUUUGAACUACUAGAAGAAUUCUGGAGAACCACUGACGGCGAGAACAGCCCAAAUGAGAUCCUGGAUGAUCGUGAAAUGGUGUGGCCAGCCAUGCGAUCGGAUUGUGGGAUUUGCCUGAGAAACUGAUUCAAGCAACCCUGGAUUACAGAUAAGCCCUAUGCACUACUUUUCCUACCCGGAUAAUAGGGUUUGCACACUGACAAUUCCCCUACAGUACACCUGUUUGGGUUUUCAACGACUUUAAAGGACAAUUCAGACUGGACAAUUCAAACUUCACAACAGGAACACUUUAAUCUGUUUCAUUCAUUCCAAAGAGCUCUGAUACUGUUCAGUAUAAAUCUUCCAUUUAAAUGUCUUUAUUUUGUUUUGUUUUACAUGUAUUCACCUUUAAAAAUGCACUAUUAGUGUGCAAUUUGGGUUAUUGUGUUGUAUAUGUGUAUAAAUGGUACUGAGGCAAUAAAGGUCCCAGUUAUUCACUUCCAA